AUACGGAGGGGGCUAGCGUUGUUCGGAAUUACUGGGCGUAAAGCGCGCGUAGGCGGUUUAUCCAGUCAGGCGUGAAAGCCAUGGGCUCAACCCAGGAACUGCGUUUGAUACUGAUAGACUAGAGGCCGGGAGAGGGUAGUGGAAUUCCCAGUGUAGAGGUGAAAUUCGUAGAUAUUCGGAAGAACACCGGUGGCGAAGGCGGCUACCUGGACCGGACCUGACGCUGAGGUGCGAAAGCGUGGGGAGCAAACAGGAUUAGAAACCCCUGUAGUCC
rnacentral:rRNA from 1 species